GAACAUUUUCAGGCAUCUUUACUCUUGGAGUGUAGCAUGGGAAAGUUCAUUCCCAAAGACUGUACCUCUGGGUGUUCUGGUAGAGUUGGGGGAUGAAUCGGUAAGAAUGAAAUGAAAACGGGAUGAAAAUCCGUUUACUCUUAAACACAGGCAGGAAUGGGGCAUCCUACUUUUAGAAUAGAAAUUUCAUUAUACAAAGGCAGGGUGGAGGAAACCUAGUUUGACAGAAGUUCAUGUGAAAACAACCGAAGAGUGUAAGUUGACCUCAAGAUUAAUCGAGGCCAGCAGUGUGACAUUGCCUUUUAAAAGGCGAAGGCCAUGUUGGGCUGUGGUCUGACCACAGCUGGAAUGUUUUUGCCCAGUUUUGGUACACAUGCUAAAAGGAAUGCCAGCAAAAUGGAGACCUGGGUGCUAAUGGAUCAGGAAAUCAUAUCAUAGGAGGGGCAGUUGAGAAAAACAUGGCUCUAAAGUCUGGAGCAGAGAUUCCUUAGAAUGACCUUAAGAAUGAGCUUAAAUAUUUAAGUGUCUGCUGGGACAUUCUCUUGUUCUCUUGUAAGAGUUAGGUUUUCCUCUGGAGCCUCAAACCCACACCUGACAUGAAAACACCUGAGACAAAAACCUGAGUUAACAUCUUGCACUGCCUGACCCAUUUUUCCCAACAAUCUGCUCAUCUUCCUGUGUUUCAAAAUGAGUGGCUGUCUCCAUUCUUCACCCUGUCAUCCAGACCAGAAAUCGGGCAUUAUCUUUCACUCAUCCCUUUCACUCAGGGAAAAAAAAGAUGUUGCAUUUAAAGUCAGCACCUCUGGACUGGGCUUCUGUUGCUCUCUAACAACUCAGUUGCUAAUAGCUUUUGAUAGGGAGGCAAACUGUUAAACUUGAUAAUUUCUAAAGAGUUUUGAGCUAUUUAGCACUAAGUGAUGCCAAAGAAAAAGAAUACUAGCGUUACUCACAGCAGAGGGAAUAAUUUAAUAUCCUUCUUGGGGGCCGAGGUUAAGUUCUGUGUGACUCAGCACAUUAUCAUCCUCUAUGACCCUAAAUCCCUUCUGUUUCCUGAUCUGCUUGUCUUGACCUGUUUCAUUUCCACACCAAAAUAGUUUCAUUAACACUAUGAUCAUGCACAGGAGAUAGUAGUUAACUGAUGUAAUUAACUGGUGUGUCAAAGGCUAUUGGUUUAUUGCAUAUGCAACUGUCUUUCCUGGUGGGAAGAUACACUUUCUGCUGACAUAAUAGGUCUGCAAACAUGCCAAAUUGCCAAAUAAUCUGCUGGGUGAUGGUGAGGUGUUUGUGGUGAUUCCACUUACAUAGGCAGAAUGGUGGGAUCUUUUACUGUGUUCUCCUAAAAUGCAACUGGCCAAAGGUGCUAAUUGCUCAACGGUUGAAACAGAAGAAGAGAAGGCAAUUUAGUUCUGGGACUUGGUGAGGUUCUUUUCCUUUCCCUUUUUUUUUUUUUUUAAAUCUCUGCUUUUGGCAUGCUAAUGAAUGCAUUUAGUCUCUGCAAGAAAUUUCCGUUUAAGAAAGAAUUUAAAAACACGAAGUGCUCAAUCCAUAUCUCCUAAACAACUAAAAAGACUGCAAUUUCAAAUGAGAAAUUAUGUUGCAAAGAUGAAAAAAGUUGUUUAUUAUGGCUCAAAAUUUUAAUCACCCAAGGGCUGUAAAGUUAAAAAUAGACAGUUCUGCCUUCUGUUUAUGGUAAACUUGGCUGAGUCCCGGCAAAUUUCAAAGCUGAACAUACUGUAUGUUAUUUUUGCUUAAUUUUAGAUUCCACAUUUUUAAAUUAUUUCUUACAAGAAGCAUAUUUCAGGAUAUAAACUUAGCCUGAAGAACAGUAUUCUUGAUUUCUGCCCAUAUUGAAACUCCUUUGAAAAUAGUAAACUAUGGUUUUGGGAUUUUCCUGUUCUCAAGAGUCCAAAUGGGUACCUUUCUAAGUCUUUUACAUUAUGAAUGAACACAGGAAUACAAAAUCGUAAAGGUUGCUUUCUGCUAUCCGGUUCCCAUACUUGUCAUUUUGGUUUUCUUAACAGUAGAACUUGAUGCAAACAUAUGGCAAUACACACUGGCUUGGACUCUAGGGAGGGGCAUUUUGUGUCGCCCUUCGUGUUUCAGGUUAAGGAGACAGGAAGGCGCGGACGGAGACUCUCCUGGCCGAGGCAAAGUGUCUGCCCCUGGGCCAAGAGCUUAAGAGAAAGCCUGGGAUAGAACCUUCCAGCUGUAGCCACCGGACAGUGUAGCUUCUCUUCUGACCCGUUCCCGCCUGCCAGCAGAACCGCCUGUGUGGUGACUGUUUGCCCCAAGAGCAAGUAGGAUUGUUGACUCAACCCUCUUCAUGCCUCCUCAGAGAGGAGAAACACCUGGCUUCACCUCUUUACAGAGCUCUUGUUGAUUCUUGCCUCCGCGCUCUUGCAGAGAGCUCUUGUGGGCCUUUCCUCCCAGGGUUUUUAGAACAAGCCCUUUGGGUGGCAAGAAAUCUAGGGAAGGGAUCUUUCUUUUUUUUUUUUUCCUUAACCCAUUACUCCAUGUGGCAUCUGAGAAUCAAACAUGCCCCACAGAGUGACUGGCAUGCUCGGUAAAUAUUUGCAAAAUAUUGUCGAGUGAACAACCAUUUACUGAAGAUCAAGAUUCCUAUGAUGACCCUGACGGAGGUUUAUUUGCGAUUAAGGCUGUGAUAGCAGUACCCAUACAUUGAUACUGUGCCUCUGAACGGGCAAAGGAUAUGUCACAACAUUCACGAAAGUCUCAGGCCCUUAAUCAUGAGGUAGGUAAUCUCCCAGGUCCCAGCCAGAACCUGCUUACACUUAAUUUGCACACAACUUUAAUACAGUUGGUUAUCUGUUUUUCAAAUACACCGCAGAUCCAUUCAUUCAGUAAAUAUUUUCUGAAAACCUAUUAUGUGCCAAGUAUUCUUCUAGAGACGGCAAACAAAAAGGAAUCUUGCCCUUUAGAGAGAUUGCAUUACAGAUUUAUACAUUAGUGGCUCUCAAACUGUGGUCCUCAGAUCAGCAGUAGCAGCCUCACAUGGAGACUUGUCAGAAAUGCAAAUCCUUCGUCCCCAGUCCAGAAAUUUGGGGACUUAAGUUCAGCAAUCUGUUUUUAAACAAGCCCUCUAGGUGAUGCUGAUGUAUGCUACAGUUUGAAAAUCACUGUUCUAGAGGGCUUAGAACAACAUUUUUGUGUUCUUGAAGCAGGUAGCUCUGUAGAAAAUUUUGUUGCCAAAUUUAUCCUGUGUGUGUGUGUGUGUGUGUGUGUGUGUGUGUGUGUGUGUGUGUCUGUCUGUCUGUCUGACUGUCAAGGUCUGACUUCAUGAUGGCAUUCAAUGAUGGGGCGCUUGCUGGGCAGAGGCACUAGGGCACUUACACGUGAGAAUAUGGACCCUAGACUCCUACAUACAUGGAUUCAGAUUCUCACUCUGCCAAGCACUAGCCACACGAACUCGGGAGAAUUAUGAGAACUCUGUGAACUUUGGUUUUCUUGUGCAAAUGCAGGUAUUAGUAAAAGGACCAUACCUCAUGCUUGGUGCAGCUGCUCGGUACCAAAAAAAAAUGCUCAGUAACUCAGUAUAAUUGUUUUUCUCUCUCUCGGAUGUAGCCCUGGGCUUGGCACAGGGUAGGUGCUCAGGGAAUGUUCUUUAGAAAAUGGAUGGAUAUUUAUUUUCCUUUGUGUUAGCCAUUAGCCUAAGACCUGCAGCUGUUUAAUUCCUACCCUUUGUCCAUCUUUAGCAGAAGUUACCAGAAUAAUGAGACCCAGCAUUAGAACAUACCUGACGCACACGUUCCCUUUGGAAAUGUGUGUUGACCUGCCUCAGUGUGGCUGCUGCUGGUACUUAAUCCUCAUCAGUCUAAGUGAGGUUGCCUUCCCUCUGGCUGUUAACUUUGGGAUAUUUCAAAUGCCUAUAAAAUCUUAUUUAAUUAAGGCUCUUCCAUAUCUGCUUGUACAUAUUUUAUUCUUGAAAUGCUGGUGGCAUUAAUAGUAUAUCUAAGAGAAUCAAACCUCUGCCUCUUUUAUGCCAUUUCAGCACUAAGCCAAGGAGAAAAACUCUCAAGGAAAUUAAUGCUUCCCUCAAGUACAGUAAGAACACGAAUCUAACAUAUUGCCAUAUAACCUGGUUUCACUGACUUUCCGAAGUUUUGUUUUGCCAUUUUUAUUACAUGUCACGUUGUAUGGCUAACACCAGAAGUACAAUUAUGAGGAAGCUGUUCUCUCAAAAUCUGCGGGGUCUGCCAGUCAGAUAACCCUUCAGAAGAAACAGUAUCCACCAGAGAUUUGGUUGUUAUUCACAAGCAGAUUAUUUUUUUUUUUUUUUAUUUUUAGACUUUCAUUAGUUCACUAAAUAUUAUUAGCAACUAUCGUGUGCCAAGCAUCGUUCCAGGUGCUGGCGAACGAAUGGGACAAAAAUACCUGCUCUCCAGGUGCUUGGUUACUUUCUUUUUCACCGGUGGGAGUGUGUUUGGAUGUCUGUGGCAUGGGGCGCCCUACCCAGAAGCUGGGUCUGGGGUGGAGGGCACGCGACAGAGAUGCUCAGAUAUGAACUCCCUCACUGCUACAUGAUCACUCCCUUCCGGUCGUAGAAGCAAGCACCUGUUUUAGGUUUUAUGUGUAAAGUUUAACUCCUUCAGCAGUGACAACUGUCACUGUUUCUCUGCUCUGGCACGUCCUCGUGCCCUGGAUUUGUGAGGUGACAUUAGUGCUGAUUUAACUUAGCUCUUCUUCAUGUUACUGCAAACUCUGUUUUAGUUUCCUAUUGCUGCUAUAACAUGUUACCACAAGCUUAGUGGUUUAAAAGGACACAAGUUUAGGGGCACCUGGAUGGCUCAGUCGGUUAAGCAUCGGACUCCGGCUCAGGUCAUGAUCUCACAGUUCUUGAGCUCAAGUCCUGCAUGGGGUGAUCACAAGCCCCGUUUCGGGUGAGCUCGAGCCCCACUUAGGGUGAGCCUUGCUUCUCUCUCUCCCUCUCUCUCUCUGCCCCUCACUCACUUGCCUCAAAGUGACUCAAAUUUAUUUUCUUCAGCUCUGAAGGUAGGAAGUCUAAAAACCAGGUUGGUGUCAGUAGGGCUGGUUGCUUCUGGAAGCUCCAGGGAAGAACCCUGAUGGCUCAUUCAGCUUCCAGAGGCUGGUUUGGCACUCCUUGGUGCAUAGCCGUAUCACUCCAGUCUCUGCGUCUUUCUCCCAGGUCUUUGAUCCUCCUGCCUCUCUCUUAUAAGUAACCUUGAGAUCACAUCAUUGGGCCUACCUGGAUAAUGCAGGAUAAUCUCUCCACUUUCCGGUCCUUAACUUGAUAACAUCUGCAGAGUCCCUUUUGCCAUAUUCACAGAUCUGGGAUUAGGACAUAGACAUCUCGGGUAGGUGGGCUUCAUUAUUCAGCUAAGUCUACCCUGCCAGAGAUUCCAGUGUCCUUAGGCUCAUUGGCUGAUAGGCAGGAUUUUUUUUUUAAAGUAGUUUCUUCCAUUCUAGAAAACCCACCCCAACAGAGCACAGUCUAAAAUGCAAAUAUUGCUAACUUAGCAGAGUCACUUACACAUGCAUAACUACCAGAAAAUCUCCUUAAUGAUUCCUGUUUCUUCUACAAGACUGAGCUCAAAAGCCCUGCCCCCAGGAAGCCUUCCUGGGUUAUCUUGGGCUUGUGAGGUGUUCUUCAUGUGAGACUCUCUGGCCCUCUCUGCGCAAGUGACUACAAGACAGCACCUUUGCUGUUGUGAUUUUGUGGAUUUACUCGUCACCCCCCUGGCCCCCACAUCCCCUCCUCUUCCCCUGAAUAGUGUGCUCUUUACAGGAAGGGACUGCUUCUGCUAGGCACUAGAAGAUAUUUGGUAUAAGUUUCUGUAGCAACGGAAGGAUUCUUCUCUCACACAUUUUUGAGAAACUGUGUGAGAUGAGUCUCACUUAAUUUCACUUGAUAAGGUAUUUUAGAAGUUGGGAGUGGAGUGUGGCCAGGUGGGUUCAGAAAGGACUGGCACCAUGUGGCUUUUCACAUGAUUUGGACACCUGACUGGGUGGUGAGUUAGUGACUCUUAUGGACACUUCUUUUCAAGUGAAUAUAAUCCUGAAGCUGUGCACGCUUUUUCCCUCAGUGUCAUCAUAAAUCUACUACAAUUAGGUAGAUUCCUAAUAUUUGGAAAUAAUGAUAUAAAUCAGGGUGAAUGACUGAAUACUAAAAUAAAUUUUCAUUACCAAAGAACAUUCUGUGGCCUGAUAACUUUUAGGGUUACUCUAAUGGAAUCAUACCUCUGGUCAUUGAGAUAUUUUACUUUAUUUCAGUUUUUAAAAGUAGAAUCUUAUUACAUGGAGAAAUCUGUGAGUCCUGCGUGGUUACUGUUAGAAAUUCAUUUUGCCUCUUUUAUAAUGUUCAGGCUGAUUUUUUUCUUCUUUGUAAGUAGACUUUGGGCUUUAUGUUGUUGGAAAGCAUGUAAUUUUCAUUUGUUUUUUUUCACCUAGUGGUGCUUAAUGAUACCAUGUGAAUUUUUAUGGUCCCAGCUGCACCGAAGUGUGUGCUCUGAAACUUCAGUUGGAUUAAGAGCCUACCUUGGUGUGAGGGCUGAAAUUGGAGAAAUGGGAGAACACAGGGUGCAUCUAUAUAUGUUGCAAUUAAUAUUGAUGAGUGGGCAAAAGUCCAAUGUUAUCCUAGGGGGUUCGCUAAUGUUCAUUGUAAACCAAUGCAAGUGAGUCCUUCCCCUGCAGGUGUGAAUAGUUUAGUAGGUGGAUUAGGAAAAGCAAGGGGCAUUUUCUUAUGUUCCAGUUCAUGUUUCGUAUGUUGAACAUGAACCAGCCAUGUAACGAACGUACAGCUCAUCGUUGAGUGGUGGCAACAAGUAUCCGAGACAUGGUUAACCCAUCUCAGUACCUCUGAGGUCUAGCAUCAUGCCUGGUACAUGGUAGGUGCUCAUUAGCAUUUGUGAAAUGAAUAGAAGAAUGAAUGAAAGAUUGCUAUUACAAGGUCUCUUAAGAAUACUGGCCCCUGCCUACCCCUCAAGCCAUCUUGCCUUCCACCUUCUAGCCAUAAUAUACUAUUUGUAGCUUGUUCAAUGUUCUACAUUCUUCUUCCCUUUGGACCUGUUUACUUUCCGUCUUCUCUCCUUCAAGCCCCUUCUCCCCCCACACCUCCAUCCCUUUGUCUGGCUGAUUCCUGUUGGUUCUUUGUGAUUUGGUGCCUUCCAGAAGACUUUCAGGAGGCAUCAUUGCUAGUAUCUGAUUGAAGGCCUGGUUGGUUUUUCAUCUCUCUCUGAACCUUUGAAUAACAGCAGCACGCUUCUGACUAGUGGACAUGUUGAAAUCUGUGUAUCUAUCUGAACCUUCUUUUCAGGAGAAUGUGGAUAAUUGUCAGAUGCUUGAGUCAUCUGGUUAUCCAUUCAUUAAAUGUUUACUUGUUUUGAGAGAGAGUGUGAGCGUGAGUGGGGGAGGGGCAGACAGAGGGAAUCCCAAGCAGGCUCCACGCUCAGCGUGGAACCCGGUGCGGUGCUCGAUCCCAUGUCUGUGAGAUCAUGACCUGAACUGAAAUCAAGAGUCGGACGCUCAACCUACUGAGCCACCCAGGCGACCCAGUACUUUGUGUCUAGCAAUGGGCAAAACAUGGCUCUAUAGUACCAGGAGCAGAAGUAGUCCAGUGAGGCAGCCAAUUCUCUCGCGUUUACAGAGCAUCAGCCUCAGGGUAAAAUGGGAUGAUGAAGGAGAACCACUGAUGUAUUACUUUUGGUGUGCUUGAUACCAAAGGGUCCAAAGGCAAAUAGAAGUUGGGAAAUUGAACCAUUUCCUUUCUAAUUCAAUUUAGGAAAGGUUGGUGCAUAGUAGGUGCUCAGCCAACAUUUCCUGAGGAUGAAAGGUUUUUAUUUUUUUGCUUUAUAAUAGGAUUAAAAAUUUUUUAGAUAGUCUCUUUCACUCCACACUCCUUUUUGCCCACAUAGCCCUAGCUUCAGUCUAUACUUAGUGCUUUUGCUAAGACUGACUCAUCUUGUUUCCGAUUGCUUUAGUGAUAUGAGACUCUGGUAUCCAUGGGAAUGGUAUAAGACUGUAUUGCUUUCAUGCUUGGAAAAACAUUAACCAGAAAGGCCAGCUAUUGGUACCAGUACCAAGUAACUCCUGAGAACUAUAGGGUAAUCUCACCCUUAAAUUCUUAAGACAGUGUGUAAAACAGCAUAAUCUGUUGGAAAACAAAUCAGUCUUUGUGACAAGAUAGGUGUGACUUAAAUCUUGUCUCUGCUGCCAGGCUGUGUGACUGUGGGCAGGUUAUUCACCCUCUCUGCGUUCCUUCAUCUCUGUUUUUUUUUUCCAUUUGUAAAAUGAGGGAGCAAUAUUAACUCAGGACUGUUCGAUAAUUAGAAACGCUUUUGUAAGUGUCCUAGUUUAUAUCUGAUGCUCAGUAAAUGGUAAGUAUUAUUAUGAUGAAUAUUACUACUGUAAACCAUAUUAGAUAUAGGCCCUGGAGGGUUUCAACAAGGACAUGGUUACAGGUUGCUACCAAGAUCAGGGAAGGACAGCUGAAUUAGAUCUAAACAGACUCCAUUUGUCUGCAAAGGACCCUUGGUUUUUUUCUUUUUUCUUUUACCCCCUCUGGGAAGAAUUAACAUCGUUUUAAGAAGGGAACUGAGUGUCUUCCCUCUGUUCUGGGUGUUUCAGAGUUGACUAGAAAUUGAUCCUAGUUACUAAGGAAGAACUUUAAAAAAUACACGUUAGGAGUCAGGAUGGUGUAGAGGUAAGAGCACUGACCCAUGUUCCCAGGGGUCAAGGCUCUGCUCAGCUCCACAUUCUCUGCCAAGUCCCUUUCCAUCACUGUGCUAUACAUCCCCCCGCUGGGAGCACAUUGGAGCAGAAGAUUAUCUGGCCCUCUGGUUGGUUUUCUUCCCAAGGCAAGUCCUUCUUCCUGACUGGGAGUUAGGAUGGGUGGCCCUAGCUGGGCUGGUUUUAUUGUUCCAAAAAGUGUCAGCAGAGAAAUGGCCAGAUCUUGGAGUAUCCCUUGUGAUUUGACAUUUGGGGGCAUCCUUUUAUGUUCAAUGUACCUGGCCCAAAAGUCUUCCAGCUCAGAUAUUCUGUGAGUGGAAACUCUUUGAAUAAAUGUAAACCUAGAAGGGAUUUUCAGGGUAAAUUUAAAAAUUCUCCUGUGGUUCAGCUGUAACAACUCCUUCUCACAUGAAACUUCUUUGGGGGCAUUGAUAAUACUUGUAUUUGAAUGGGGAAUGAAUUUCCCAGCUUCCUGGGAACAACAACAACAAACAUUCCCCCAACAAACCCCAGGGUGUCUGACGCUCCCGCUUUCUUCUCAAAGAGCCGAUCGAAAACUCUUCUGUCAGCUCAAGAGCUAUCAGCAGUAUUGAACAAUUAGACUAGAAGGAACGGUGGUGAACAGUUGUCCCUAAAGGCUUGGAAAUUAACAAAGGCCAUAUUAGUAGGAGCAGGGAGGGAGGGGGGAUAUGAAGAGAAUGGGGGCUGGGAGGGACAAUUCACAAGUGGGGAGGGUGAUUUGGAGGGGUUUGUUUCCCAGAUAGUUUUCAAAGAAAAGAGAUUUGUGUAGUUUGCCAGGGGCUGAGAAUGAAGCACAGGACCAGUUGAUGUUCUUUUUUAUCCAACAAUUACUUUUCUCUGGCACAUUCCUUUUAGGCUAACAAAGUGUCUUCCUUUUCUCUUUCAUGGUCAUUGAUAGCAAGAGCUUAAGGGAUCUUUGCUUCCCAGGGCUAAGGGUGUGGUGGAGAGAAGGACACAAGGAAGAGGGAAUUGACAUUUUUCAGAUUUUCUUGAAUUUUGUCACAAACAAGGGAAAGCCAUCCAAUGCCUACGGAAGGCUCAGGUUUUCAUUUUAGUCUGGGGGUGAUUGAUUUCUUUCUUUCAAGGGGCUGAUGGAGGAGGUCAGCGUCUUAGGGAAGAAGCCAGGGAAAAGGAGAAAAGAAAGAAUGAGAUUUAUGACCUUCUGGAUCCCAGCUUUUAUGUCGCGUAACCAUUCCCAAUACUGGAAGUUCAUGACACCCUGAGAACCAGCCCGGGAACCCGGAGCAGUGAUCUGCAUGCAAAGGAGGAAUUAAACAGUCCAGCAACUGCUUUGAUUGAGAGACACACAAGAUCCUGUCCUGGAUUCUGAGCCCGGCUUCCCUUUAGUUCAUCCUGUAGGCACAGAAUCCAGUGUUUCACGCACUGAUGAGACAGACCACCCAGGGCCACUCAUGUUAUACUGAGGGUGAUUGACGACGGUGCUUAUAGAGGAAUUAUUUCAACAAUGGGACUUUUCCAUUAUUCUCUCUGCAGUCAGCCCUCCACGAUCAGUACAUGGAAAUCCUUGCAUCUUGUCACCGAAGAAUACUAAACUAGUAGGUGUUGCUCCCAUAGCCCCACCCUGGUCCCAUAACCCUGAGCUAAUAACUGAAGAUCUUAAAAAAUGUAUGUAUGGUCCAUUUUUAUUCCAUAUGGCCCCUUAGGUAACAUGACCCAAUGUGGCCAUUAAAUGACCCCGCUUACACUUGGAUUACUCGGUACAAAGCAAAUUUAUGGUUGUUUAUUCUCUCCUCCUAUCAGCUAUUAGUGCCUAAUCAUAUGGUCUAUCGAUCAUGAGAUUAAUCGCCUGCUCAAAGAGGCAGCAGGUCUCGUGGAAUGCUGCACUGCGCCAGACUGAACUUCAACCUUUUAUACAAACUGGAGGAGUCAAAAUCAUCAUUCACUGCCUGAAGCCCCUGGUCCCUGGGCCUCCUGAACCCCAGGAGGUAAAUCCCUGCUUUUUCACACAGUGUACUUUGCACUUCCUUUCCUUGUGUAAAACUUCACCUCAUUGAUUCAGGCAGGCACUUGCAAAUAAAAUCCUUUGCAAGGCGUCCUAUAAAUAAUGAUCUAAGCUGAAAAUAUGUGGGCUUUAUUAUACAAAGCCCCAUAGUGCUGCCAUAAUUAAGGUCUGUCAGUAUUUCUAUUACAGAUUCUCAUUUUGGAAGAUUUAUAACUGGGCCAUUAAAGUUUUCUUGGGCUAAGACUUUCCAAGAGUGUCAUGUUAGACCUUUUUUUUUCCUUUUUGUAGAAUAUAUUUCUUAAAAAAUAUAUAUAAUUAUUAAGUCCAGAAAGCCUGUCACACAGUAGUACAUACCUGCAAGGGUUGGACGCUAAAAUCUGAGGACUGCAUCGCCUAGAGUGGCUUCUGGUCACCCUCCUCUGCCCUUUCAUUGCAGUUGUGAGAACAGAGAAUCAUUGUAGUGUUCAUGCUGUAUUGUGAUGUUUGUUUCCUGGUCUGUGUCUUCUCCUCUAAGGAGAGUGAGAGUAGGCAACUUAAAUCAUUUGUCUCUCGAGCCCUGUGUUUUUCAGAGAGGAUAGCCCCAUGUCAGCGCUGGGUUUGUUCAGUAAAUGCACCCAAGAAUGGGAAGCAGGAAACAUCCUUUCCAGUCCUAGAGUUGUUCAUAGCUGGGAGUAAACCAGGCGGUGCAUUUAGUCAAGUCACUUUACUUCUUGGAAAACAAGUUUCCUGAUGGUUGAAAUAAGUUCAGGCCUGGUAAAUUGGUGUUCUGUGAGUUGAAUGCUGCCAGCACAGUGCUUUCAAACAUUUUAAUCUGAACACCUUAUGGGAUGGAAUCUGGGCCUUCUAGUUGGCCAUAAUUCCUGCCAUUCCCCGGUAUAGGGUAUUAGCAGCCGCUUCAGUCAUCUGUCUGCAUGGUCUAUAAGUGUUUAUGAUUCCUCGUAGUGAUACCUUUAUAAUGGGACCUUGUGUUUUGUUGCUACUGUAAGGAUCUAAAUCUGAGAUUCAUGUUGGCCUGGGAUGCCUUUCAAUGCAAUCUGACUUCUCUCACUUCCAAUUCUUUCUCUCACCAAGAACCUCAACCAAUAUUUUUGACUCCAUGCUUUGAAAAGUUUUGUCUUGUAGACAAACUGCAUUGGUUAAUAAUUAAUUUCUUUUCCUAUUUUUAAAGCAAACAGACAUCUGUAACUGUGCUCACAGAUACAAAUAAGCCAUCAGCAGUAAGGGCAUGAAAUAGUUUUUGUGUAAUGAGUUGGUUGAUGCUUUAGCAAGGUUGUGCAGUUGUUUCUUGAGUAAGCCUAUAGUUUCUGUGUGAGCUUUUGAUCUACUAAAAAUAGCUCUUAGAUCUUCCUGCCUUUUUAGACAUGUGAAGUUCCAAAGACUCUAGGUGAGCGCUUAGUUUAUUCUUUUAUGAGUUGCUGGGCUACUCUUGUCCUCAAAGCCUCAAGUAAGUUGUUUGUCCAAAUAUGCAGUGCCAGUGUUUCAAAAUGUGGCCUUCCUGGUCAGCUUAGAGAGGGCAGUCUGUAUACAAGUUGGCUUUUGCAUCUGAUGAAAGGAUAUGAGUUACCUGCAGGCCCUUGUUACAUUUGUUCCCUUCAGUCAAGGGCAUUUUGGAAGGUUGUUAAAAAAAAGAGUGGAAGACAAUUUGAUACUUUGACUCCCAAGCUAAAGAGAACCUUUCCAUGUCAACUCAGGCUGUUGGUGACUAUUGUGGAUUGAGAAAUUAACAGCACACAUUUUAAUUAAAUAGAGCAAAUUAAAGAUCUGUAGCAUAGACGUAAUCUUGCAUGUAAACCAAUCUGAGGCCUGACCUUAGGUACUUAAGGUGGUCAAUAUCACACAGAAGUAAAGGGUUUUUGAAGAUAGCAAACUGAUUGACCCAGAGUAUCACACAGAUACAGUGUAACAAGAGGCAGCGCCUUCUUUGUGGCUAAGAGUUUAGGCUCUGGGGUUCUACUAAUUUGGGUUUAGUUCUGUCUUGGUUCCUUACCAGUUCUCACCUUGAAGAGAUUACUUAACUCUCCAUAAACUUCAGUUUGCUCAUUUAUAAUCUGAGGAUAAUUAUAGCAUGUUGUAAGGAGUAAAGGGGAAUAAUUCACACAAAGUAUUUGCAUCAUGUUGGUCAUAGAAUAAACAAUGCAUAUUAAUUAUCAUUAUUAGCCAGGACAUAGUUGAAAUAGAUUCCUGAGCUUUGGGGUUUUCUUUUUAAGAGUUUAAAGGUAUACUUAAGAUAUGCUUUCUUAAGAGUGUCCAUCCAUGCUGGGUCACUUACCUACCUUUCCAGGAAAUUGUACGUUUCAACAGUCCAGAUGUGCUGCUUUCAGUUUUUUCAGGAAACAAGUAAUGUUUGAGUCUAAAAAUCUAAGGUUGAAAUCUUCUUUCCUACAUUUUCUUUUCCCUCCAGAUCAAUCCAAAUUAAAGUUUCAUUGCCAAAGUUUCACAGCUCCUUAUUAGCAUUAAUUAUUAUUGGCGUGCUGUAGGAAUCCUAAAGUGGGUGCAUUAAGAAUUAAAACCCGGGAGAAAACUUGAAACCCUCAUGGACUCAUAGAGCUGGAAGGGACUUACGAGAUCAUGUCCUCUAAGCCCCAUUUUACAGAUAAGGAAAGUGUAUUUUACAAGGUAAAGUAAGUUUUAAACGUAAUGGCUUUUUAAUUUGCCCCCUCACCGGAAUCUGCGCUUAUUUGCCAUGUUGUGAUUAUGUUCUUAUCGUGGGACUUGUGGGUAUUUAUUAGAGACUAUGGAGAUGUAGCAUUGGGCAUUACUUUUGUGGCAAAGGCACGGGGGCACUAAUCAUUAUUAAUGGAUGCCAUUAUUUGGGAGAGCAUUUUACUGACUAUAGAGAAUUCAUUGCAUUGAUCUAUGGUGCCACAUUUGUAUUAUACCAGGUAGUUUAAAAUGAUAUUCUCUAAACUGUUAGGCUGAAAAAUUGUCCAAUCUUGGCAGUUAUCCCAUCAGUAAGACCUUCCUUUUCCUACUGAAAAUACAUAGUUCUGUUGAAAGAAACCUUUUGACUGGUCCCCAGAGCCCUGAAUGUGUUUAAAUCCCUCACUACUGAAAUAGGAGGAUUACUACUGCUAUCAUUGUUCUAAAACAAACUUCCCUUUGGACGAUAACAGCAGCGGUAAAUCAGAUGUUGAAGAAAGUACCAGCUUAACAUCAGUUUGCUUUAAAAGGGUUUCCUCUUUAAUUGACAAGUGUCAUGUAUAAUGGAGCAUGGUGACUCACAUAGAAAACCGUGUACCGGCCUUCCCGCUGGGGUUGGAGUUCUUAAUGAACAUCCGAGUGAAUACACGGAGGCGAAAACUGAAAGGGCCCCAGCUGUGGAGUAUUCACUCUGCUCGCUCUGGCCAGGGUGGUGAUCGGCACCAGCCACGCCGAUGACCAGAGAGAGACCCGUAUCGGUCAUGUGGCUGUUUUGUAGCUGUGAGCUGCUGUGACUGUGGUCUUUCCUAGUGACAUGUUGAAUAACGGCACAGAGUCUGGUGUCCCAUCUGAGGAAUAAACAAGGUUUUUCUUUCUUAACGUAAAGAUAAUAAGUUAUUUUUGGCAGACUCAACCUUCUCACAGAGCAGCAGUUUUCUUGAGCUCCGGACCACUUGCUAACACUCAGCCCCCUCAUGCUGCAGUCCCCGUUUUCCUUCCCCUCACUCCCCGAAAGAGAGCGGCACCGAUUUUUCAGGGGUGAUGUUUACAACAGUUCAACACACUUGAAUACAAGCACUUAGAAUAAUGUCAGUGGGGGUGGGGGGAGAGAAGGGCAUAUUAUUUUCAAAUUAAGUAAUGGAUGGGUAGUGAUAUUUUAUUUAUUAAAGCUCAUCUGAGUACCAGUGGAAACAGAAUGUUGGUUCUGAAGUGCACAGAUUAGAAAGGAAUGUUGAGUUUGGAAACGUGGCAGCCUGCAGCACUGUGUAUGGUUUAAAUUAAACCUUUUUUUGGAAAGCAGAAUAGCUCUAGGCCACAUUUAAGGGAAACGCUACAGCAGAGUGAGCUGGCUGUGGUUUUUCUUUUACUCUGUAACCGGCCCACUUUCCCUUGUUUUAACACAGAAAAAAGACUUUGGACUCCUUCAGACCAACCACAUAGCUUCUCUGCUGACCACAAAAAGGAAGUUUGGCGUAGAAGCCAUAGGAUUAAUACCCACUGUCUCUUAACCCAACAGAGUGUGAAAACUUUUAUAAGAGAUUUCUCUGGGCAGACUGACACUGUGGUUGGACUUUAAACAUUUUAAAUCAAGAGCAACUUUGAAUUGCAUUAUGCCACAGUGCUCUGUAAAUUGUUAUGUGUGAUCCCACCGUUAGAAGUUAUUUACACGAAUCCCCAGGUUUCAGAGGGAUAAACCACUAACAGCUUUGUGUAUCUUGAUAAAGAAAUACAAGGAGAAUUAAAGGUAUGCCCAUGCCAAAUUAUCUCAGAGAGAGUAGGCAGAUCACAGUCAAUCAGAUUUUAUUGUUCUGAAGCAAAUGGAGACAGUUGGCUCUUGGCAGAAAAGCCUUUUCAUCUUUGCAAAUAAUAAGAUUAAGAUUGUGGAUUCUAUUAAUCACUUGAUCAACUUUAUUAAUUCAUCACAUUAUUUUUAAACUAGAGAAGAAACCUUCCUUUUAAUAGAUUCGCAUCUUUCUAAAAUAAUAGUUUUGCAUCGCAGAGGUGUUGUUUCAUAUGCUGACCUCCUCAGCUGUUAUAAAUAGUUAUUGGUGUGCCCUGACCAUUAAUUUUAAUGAUUGGAUUCUUACUAUCCUGAUUAACUAAUUAUGUGUUUGCACAGAGCAACUUUGAAAUUACCAACCAACAAACAACCCCCCCCCAAAAAACCCCAAAACCCUUGUGUGUUUGUAUUUGUAUGUACUCUUUGAAUGCCUAGGAUUGAUAUAUUUUUAAAAAAUCAUUUGAAUUUACAUUUUGCCAUGCUGAAGUCAGCAGCUUUUCACAGGUGCACUGUAUCAGCAUUCUGGUUUCUGUUCAACAAAGAAUGUCAAUCGAAAGAAUUGAUUUGAAAAGUUGAAGGAAAAACCUGCAUACAUGUUUCAAAACUGUGGUCUUAUGGUAACCACUGAGUUACUUCUUGGUUGACUGUAUGUCACGAGAGGGGUUUAUUUGCUGUCAUUAGAGAAAUUGGUCUGUAGAACACUUCCUGUGUGUGAAGAAAUGCAGUUGUCAUCUUGCCUAGGUCACUAAAACAGUAUUUAAAUACUUCCAGUUGUAAGGAACCUUGCAUUCAUUGUGGUUAUUUCCCCAGGAGCAGCCGUUUUGGGCUUUUCUGAACUUAAUAGUUGAAGAAGGUCAGAAAGAAAUGGUGUACUUUCUGGGUAAAGUAGUUUAGCCACCCCGGAGUAGAUGCGUUGCGUCUUGAUCUUUUUUCAUCUUAGUAGAAUUCUACUGUAACUAAUUGAAUCCAUUGAUCACUGUCUUGUAUCUCCCCUGCCCCCAUCUUCUUCUCAGAGGAUUCAUUUCAUAGGGGUCUAUACAUCAGUCAAGAAAAUGACUACAGAGGAAUUACCAAGACUGGUAAUCAAGGUAAUUUAACCUGGUUUAGUUUUUCUUUUUUUUCUUAAAGUACAACACGCUAAGUGUCCUUUACCUGGUGAGAGUUAACUUCUUAUCUGGUAAGAGUCUCCUGAUAGGAGUUAACGUCUUAAUUAGGUUAUGUUCCAAAACAAGUCAAACUAUGAUACUGAGCAGUACAUUCAGAACAGAAAGAGGGGAGAGAAAGCAUCGAUUUUCGAAUUAGUUGACCUGGUUUCCAGGCCUCUCUGUACCAAUGCUUUUCAGACUUCACUAUGCAUAUGAAUCAACUGAGGAUACUUUUGAAUGGCAGAGUCUGACUCAGUAGGUGCGUGGUGCAGCCCGAGAUUCUGCAUCGCUGACAGGCUUCCCGCCAUGUGGAUGUCCAAGUUGUAGGGCUCCAGACCGUACCCUGCAUAGCAGCAAUCUGUUACAGCGCAUACCGACUGAACUUGGUGGCUUUGGAGGACUAUUUAACAGCUCUGCAUCUCAGUUUCCUAAUCUCUCAAAUAGGGACGUUAAUCUUUGCCUGUCUCAUUAGGCUGUUAUGAGACUCAGAUGAGAUAAUGUAGAUGAAAUUUUAAAAGGCUACCUAAGUAUAAGACACCAAGGAUCUUUGCUUAUAGAUAAAGACAUUCUUGGCAUACCUUUCAUGGAAUCAGUGUGAGCCUCCUCCUGUGCUAGGAAGUGUCCUGAACUGUGCAAUAGGGGAGAGAGACUGGAGUCCUCACUUCCGUCAUCCACUCUAUGCCUUUGGCCAGAUCACUCCACCUUUCUGGUCCUCUUUAAAAUAAGGGCUUGACCUGGAUUAAUGGGUCUUGAAGUGUGGCUCCAAGUCUAGUGGCCUCGGCAUCACUUGGAAACUUGGUGGACGAGCGGAUGUCUAGUCCCUUCCUAGACCUAGCGAAUUGUAAAUUCUGGGGAUGGGGCCCAGCAACCUGUUGUUUAACAAGUACUUUUGGUGAUUCCGAUACAUGCUAAAUUUUGAGAACCACUCUGAAGUGUCCGACAACUUUGAAAUGUGAUAUUGAAGCAUUUCUCUGGAUAGGUUCAGUCGUGGGAAUGCCUUUCUGUGUGAUCCAGAGUGUCCUGUCUCAUAGGCAGAGACGAAUUGGGACUUGAGUAUUCUCCAAGGGUGCCCGCUGCACGUGUGGAAAGGAGGAAUGAACAUCUGGGUUUUAAGCCUGGCCUGCCUGGAAGUCAGAACAGAUCAUAACUGCACCGGCCCACACCUUCCUAGCUUAGCCCAGCCUUGGGACUGACUGCUUUAGUGGCCCAUGACAGCGGAUUAAGCCAGAGAAAAACAUGCAGGCUGAGGAGUUCUCUCUCAUUCUCCUCCUUAUCCUCCGAUUCUCCUGAUGGUGGUCAGCACAGUGCAGCACCAACUGACAUUUUUUUCAGGCACUUUCACAAAGAUUAUCACAGUCCAUUUGCAUAGGCAGGAGAUGAGGAGAGAACCAAGGAAAUAAAAUACAUCUUUUUCUUACAGUCAUUUACAGACAGACCUCACAUUCCUGUGGUUUUGCUUUUCUGUUUUGAUAUUUGGGAAUACAUCUGAUAACCAGGAAAAAAGCACAGCCAGCCUCCAGUUGUCCAAAGUAGAUUUUAUCAGGUUCAAGCACUAAAGCUCUUGAUCUUAUGUUCAUCAGUGAACCUAACUCCUGUCCGAAUCUGACAUUUUAUUCCAGACUAGCAAGUAAAGUCAUAGCAGACAGGUGCUUGAGCCUUGAAAGUGGAAACAAAAGAGAGGUGUUAGCUGGCAGCUUGAACAGUGAGAGAGACACUGUCAAAAGUAGAACAGAUACGAGGUCGAGAGGGUUAAUAGCUUGAGAUCCUCUCUCUCUAGAUAUACACAUAUGUAUACAUGUGUAUGUGUGUACAAUAUAAAAAUAAAUAUAGAUAGUACAUAUAUAUGUGUAUAUGUAUGCAUAUAAAGAAUUAAAUGCAUAGUAUACAUAUGUGUAUACGUGUAUGCAUGUAUAAAUAUAUACAGGUAUACAUGUAUAUAUAUGAAUAUACAUGUAUUUAUUUACACGUAUGUAUUUUUAUAUAUGUGCACUACAAAUAUCCUAUAUACUAAUGUUCCUAAGUAACCCUUUUGGGUAUUAACAGUAAUAGAACACUUCCGUGUAACUCAUGUUCUUUUUUUAAAAAUUUUUUUUUAACAGUUAUUUAUUUUUGAGACAGAGACAGAGCACAAGUUGGGAAGGGGCAGAGAAAGAGGAAGAGACAGAAUCUGAGGCAGGCUCCAGGCUCUGAGCUGUCAGCACAGAGCCCGACGUGGGGCUCAAACUCAUGAACCGUGGGGCUCAAACUCAUGAACUGUGAGACCACGACCUGAGCCCAAGUCAGACGCUUAACCAACUGAGCCACCCAAGGGCCCUCAUGUAACUCAUGUUCUUGAUAUCUUUAGGAAAAGAUCAAAUUAUGUUUCUGAAUAUAAGGAUAUUAGUUGCAAAUUAUAGAAUAUUU